rnacentral:rRNA from 1 species
GACGAACGCUGGCGGCGUGCUUAACACAUGCAAGUCGAACGGCAAGGCCCUGCUUUUGUGGGGUGCUCGAGGGGCGAACGGGUGAGUAACACGUGAGUAACCUGCCCUUGACUUUGGGAUAACUUCAGGAAACUGGGCCUACUACCGGAUAGGAUCUCCUGCUGCAUGGUGAGGGUUGGAAAGUUUCGGCGGGAGUGGCUGGACUCGCGGCUUAUCAGCUUGUUGGUGGGGUAGUGGCUUACCAAGGGUUUGACGGAUACCCGGCCUGAGAGGGUGAACGGGCACAAUGGGACUGAGAGACGGCGCAGACUGGUAUGGGAGGCAGCAGGGGGGAAUAUGGCACAAUGGGCGCAAGCGUGAUGCAGCAGCGCCGCGGUUGGGAUGACGGUCUUUUGGUAGUAAAACGCUUUCGCCUGUGACGAAGCGGGUGUGACGGUAAUGGGUAAAGAAGCACCGGCUAACUACGUG